GUGUGUGUGUGUGUGUGUGUGUGUAUGUAUCUAUAUAUAUAUAUAUAUAUAUAUAUAUAGAUACAUACACACACAAACACAUAC